AUCAGACUUUACACAGUUCUCACUGGUUACGUGAUGAAUAAAAUCAAAUCACCAUCUUUCGGCUGAGCUCCUGAU
rnacentral:snoRNA from 1 species